CGGAGAUUAGUUUAAAAAAAACCCUUGAUUUCGGCUCAAGCACUUAUGGUUAAACCCCAUAAUCUCCUA
rnacentral:tRNA from 1 species